rnacentral:lncRNA from 1 species
AGUGGUCACGCGCCUGGCCCAGUGCACGGUGAAGCUCGGCCACGUCCAGCGCCCAGGCACGCUCCUCGUCCAGGGAUGCCUCCGUCACGCCUCUCAAUGUACCGCGCCACGUCCUCCCGGAUCAGCUGGAUGCCGGAGCUGACGCUGUAGGCCCCUGGACUCGGGCAGGACAGGAUGGGAAGUACAGAUGCCUGGAGCAAAGGGGAAGGGAGGAGGCUCAUGGACCCUCCCUGCUCAGAGUUCCCCCCGCUCUACGUCCCUCUGUGUUAAAGGACACAGGCAGGGUCAGCAAAGGUGAAGGCGGGAACACAGGAGGCCGAGAGCCACAGAUACUGCCCAAGAGGAGCCUCCUGAGCGGCCAUCUGAGAGGAAGCCUCUCCCUGCCAAGGACGCCCAACAGGCCCUACCUGGCGAUGAGCAGCUCCACCAGGUGCAGGUGGCCGCAGGUGGCCGCAGCAUGCAGAGGCGUCCAGCACUCACUGUCACAGGCAUUGAUGUUGGCCCCAGCCUCCAGGAGCUGCUGCACCAUCUCUCGGAAAUCAUCAAUGCAGCACUGCAAACCGUGCCACGUGAGCGACCAGAGCACGGGGGCCAGCCCCCACCCUGCCCACACCCAGUGCAGGCUGACCUGGUGCAGGGCCGUCAGGCCGUCCUCGUUGGCCAAGUCAGGGCUGACCCCACUCCCAAGGAACUGGCGGACUGCAAAAAGGUGGCGAGGCCUCCCGGGAGGGCUCCUGUCCACAUGGAAAGAUGCAGGCCAGACACUGCCGGCUCCUCUUUACUCUCUGCUCCGGAGGGAGGCAGGAAGGAGUCUCAAGGGCCACCACAGUGCCUCUUCCCCCAAGACUCCAGAGCACCAGAAGUGGAACCCACACAGCUGGGGCUGCAAGCGUGGGGCACAGGUCAUUUCGGGCAGCGGCCUCCAGAAGGACAACACUGGGAGGGAAGAGGACCUGCUUCAGGAGCCCUUGGCUGGCUGCCUCC